rnacentral:lncRNA from 1 species
AAAGACGAUUGGCUUUGGUACAAGUGGAAGAUUGAAAGAAGAGUGCCCUAUAAGCCAAUCGCAAGUAUGUUGUGAUAAAAUUUUUCUUUAUAAUUUUUUAACUCAUGAAAUGAUAUUUAUUAUUUGAGAUAUUGAUUCAUCAUAUUAGCUGCAUCUUAUUAUGUCUAAGAUUAUGAUGAACCCCAAAGAUUAGGACAAUAGUUUUAGAAGAUAUGAAUGGGUCAUGCUAGUGAGACCUAAAAUUCAAAAAUCAUAAUCUUAAACAUUUU